rnacentral:rRNA from 1 species
CUUGCUCUUUCCGGAAUUGAGUGGCAAACGGGUGAGUAACACGUAAACAACCUGCCUUCAGGAUGGGGACAACAGACGGAAACGACUGCUAAUACCGCAUAAGACCACAGUACGGCAUCGUACAGUGAUCAAAGGAUUUAUUCGCUGAAGGAUGGGCUCGCGUCCGAUUAGCUAGAUGGUGAGGUAACGGCCCACCAUGGCGACGAUCGGUAGCCGGACUGAGAGGUUGAUCGGCCACAUUGGGACUGAGACACGGCCCAGACUCC